GAACGCUGGCGGCGUGCUUAACACCUGCAAGUCGAACGGUGAAGGGGCCUGCUUUUGUGGGCCCUGGAUGAGUGGCGAACGGGUGAGUAACACGUGAGUAACCUGCCCCCUUCUUCUGGAUAACCGCAUGAAAGUGUGGCUAAUACGGGAUAUUCUGGGUCUGUCGCAUGAUGGGUCUGGGAAAGAUUGCGCCUUUGGGUGUUUUUGGUGGGGGAUGGGCUCGCGGCCUAUCAGCUUGUUGGUGGGGUGAUGGCCUACCAAGGCGGUGACGGGUAGCCGGCCUGAGAGGGUGGACGGUCACACUGGGACUGAGACACGGCCCAGACUCCUACGGGAGGCAGCAGUGGGGAAUAUUGCACAAUGGGCGCAAGCCUGAUGCAGCGACGCCGCGUGAGGGAUGGAGGCCUUCGGGUUGUAAACCUCUUUCGCCAGUGAAGCAGGCCUGCUCCUUGUGGGUGGGUUGACGGUAGCUGGAUAAGAAGCGCCGGCUAACUACGUG
rnacentral:rRNA from 1 species